AUUCUUGUAGCGUAAUGGAUAGCGCAUUGGACUUCUAAUCCAUAGAUCGUGGGUUUGAAUCCCACCUGGGAUG